GACGAAGGUGGCGAGCGUUACUCGGAAUUACUAGGCGUAAAGCGUGAGCAGGCGGUUCGGUAAGUCUGUUGUGAAAGCCCCCAGGCUCAACCUGGGGAGGUCAAUGGAUACUGCCGGACUUGAAUACGGGAGAGGUCGCUGGAAUUCCUGGUGUAGCGGUGAAAUGCGUAGAUAUCAGGAGGAACACCGAAGGCGAAAGCAGGCGACUGGACCGUUAUUGACGCUGAGUCACGAAAGCCGGGGGAGCAAACAGG
rnacentral:rRNA from 1 species